rnacentral:rRNA from 1 species
GAUUCCCUUAGUAACGGCGAGCGAAAAGGGAAUGGUCCAGCGCCAAGUCUUGACAUUUAGGUGUUCAAGAGAUGCGGCGUUAAUGUGUUGGCGCAUCGUACGUUGUUCCAUGUUUCAAGUUCCCUUGACUGGGACAUCCAKAGUGGGUGCCAGGCCCAUAGAGACAAGGAGCUGACGGACGCAGGCCGAUGCAUUCUAGAGUCAGGUUGCUUGAGAGUGCAGCUUAAAGUCGGUGGUAAACUCCAUCCAAGACUAAAUAUGACAGCGAGACCGAUAGCAAACAAGUACCGUGAGGGAAAGUUGCAAAGCACUUUGAAGAGAGAGUUCAACAGUACGUGAAACCACUGGGAGGCAAACAGAUGGAACCACGAAGUAUGCGCCUCGGUCGAUUCAAUCAACGCCAUUGGUUAGUGGUGCUUAGCCGGGAUCUUUUCGGAGAUUGGCUGAGUGUCAUUCSGACUGRUGACGUUGGUGCAUUUCGUGCCGGGGAUGCUAAGCCACGUUCGACUAGCUGGUUGGGACGGCCGUAGGACAGGGUUCGAGAAAGGUGCCCGUCAAGUGUUUUGCAUUUGGCGGCGUUAUAGUCUCGAACCGGCACCGUCGCCUAACAUACUGGUCGAUGUAAUUGCUCCGAUCGGAGUUGAACUGCGUUUGCCUCGGGUUGUUAGUYUUGGUUUAGAAGCGUUCUUUGCGUAUCUUUGGRUGCGAAAAGCCGUUUCGACAAUCAAGGCUAGCAGCUGGUUGCGUAACGUGGUGGAACUGUGGCGCGAGUAGGUCGGUGUCCAUCUGACCCGUCUUGAAACACGGACCAAGGAGCCUAUCAUAUACGCGAGUCGCUCGGUCUUGUUUAGGCCUGGGAGGCGAAAUGAAAGUAAAGUUACGAGGCCUUCGGGUCGCAGUAACGGCCCGCCUACUCCGUUUAUUGGCGGUCGGGCGGAGCUGGAGCGUAUACGAUGGUACCCGAAAGAUGGUGAACUAUGCCUGGGCAAGACGAAGCCAGAGGAAACUCUGGUGGAGGUCUGUAGCGAUUCUGACGUGCAAAUCGAUCGUCAGACCUGGGUAUAGGGGCGAAAGACUAAUCGAACCAUCUAGUAGCUGGUUCCCUCCGAAGUUUCCCUCAGGAUAGCAGGCGCUUGWUUGGAUAGUCUCAUCCGGUAAAGCUAAUGAUUAGAGGUCUUGGGGUUGAAACGACCUCAACCUAUUCUCAAACUUUAAAUGGGUGAGAUGGUCGACUUUCUUGAUUGAAGCCGACCAUUCGGAUAGAAGUGCCUAGUGGGCCAUUUUUGGUAAGCAGAACUGGCGCUGUGGGAUGAACCAAACGUCGAGAUAAGGCAUCAAAUGCAUACGCUCAUCAGACCCCAUAAAAGGUGUUGGUUGCUAUAGACAGCAGGACGGUGGCCAUGGAAGUCSGAAUCC